ensembl:lncRNA
UGAGCAAACCUUUUUUUGUACUACCAGGGGCUACAUAUGCUACCUUCUAACACAAUUAGACCUACCUUACACAAGAUCCCUGUGCAUCCCUGGUUCAUUCCCUUGAUAUAUAUAUACAUUUAUAAUAUAUCUAAUGGUCAAAUAAGAAAAGAAAAAAGAAAACAUUUGAUCAACAUUUGAACAAUUAAAGCUACUUUUUUCCUUAAGAUAGAAAAAUAUCUAUAGAUGCUUGAAAAUAAGCAAACAUGAUUUUAGACAUUGUCAAAUUACAAGGAAUCCCUCUGUACUUCACAUUAAAAGGAGAAAACAGUUUCCCCAAGAUCUCAAAAGCUUGUUUCUUUAUUUGCUCCAAUUAGCAUUUGAACAUCCAUUGCCAAGAUUCCUUGUCUCCUUAAGAUAACCAUGAUAUGAGGCUUCAUUCAUCAUGGCUGUAGCAAAGUGACCUAUUUUAAGUGCAAGUUUUUAGGAUACCCCUGAUGUUUUGGCAGAACCAUAUCUCUGUUUGACAAACACUUAGAGUCCUAGACAGCAUCAUACACAGUUACCAAAGAUUACUCUUUGCUUUCAAUGCAACAAUUGUCAGGAGGUGUAUUGGCUGUGCUAUGGUAUUGUAUUAGCUCUGUCCAGAGCUAGAAUUCCCACAGACUGUGCUCACACUGCCCGCAGCAGUGGCUCUGGUGUCAAAUGAAUUCUGGGACUAUGAAGAGCAAGUGGAUCUCGAAGCAUUCAGCUCCAGCACCUUCUAUGACAUCCUACUCAAGCACAGCGUGUCUGUCACAAUACGUCUCGGGCAGCUCAGAGGAGAGGUGAAGCAUCUCUAUCAGGGGGUGCUGGGGAAGUUGAGAGAGCUCCACCCUGGCUGGAGGAUGUUUGGAGGGAAAACCGAAGGUCUGGAGAGGCAGGUGGAGCAGGAGAUGGUGCGACGAAGAGCACUGGGCAAUCAGCUGACACAGCUGCUGGACAGCCAGCUGCAGAUCCUGCGGGUGGAGAUGAGAGCACAGCAGGCCAUGCAGAAGACCUUCAGAGCACGACUGAGAGAGAGCGCGAGGCUUCUGAGACUGCUGGCUGAGGGUCAGACCUCGCUCUGGGAUAAACACAUCAAGCAACAUGUUCUGGAGCGGGUAGCUGUGCUGGCUGAUGAGAUGACUGAGAAGGUAUCAGUGGAGAGCCAGAGGCUGGGGGCCUGGGUUGUGCUUAAAGAGGGCACUGGAGCACAGCUAUUAUGCCCUGCUACUGGAUCAGUCCUCAGUAGGGAAGACAUCAUCGCUCCUGAUGGAUCUCUUAGAGCUUGUGAUGCCGUUCAUGUAAACCCCCUCACAGGCCUCAUUCAGCCCAACUCUAACGCCCAUAUGUUACUGGCCAGUGGACACAGCAUGCCAGUUCCCCCGGACUUCUUCCUACACUCCCAGACUGGCAAACUACUGCCUAUGGCUGGAAACGUGGGCUUUGAUCCUGUUUCCUCCACCCUUGUCUUUACAGCCGAUGCUUGUGUGGGGGAGGUGGGAAAAUGGGAACUACCCCUGCUGCCUUUCAUUCCGUACCCUCCGUCCCGCCACGCCGAACUUCAUGCUGCUUCCAAACUACGGGGGCUUCGUUCAGGCCAAAGGCUGAUGCUUGGAGGACCCAUGUGUGACUGUGACACUGGUGUUUUGGUGCCUAUUCAGGCAGUCACCAUCCAUCCACAAACAGGAUUGGUUUAUCCUUUGGGAGGCGUGCACACGUGUCCCAUCUCACGCCUGUGGCAGCCUAUUCAAAUAGGCUCUCCCAUGCUGGACCCACGUACAGGUGACCUAGUGCUCAUCACGGGCAUCACUCUUGAUCCCCAUACAGGGGCUGUACUUCCAGUUGGGGGGCUUCUCCUAGGCGAGUCCUUCAUCGAGCCCUUGAGCGGACGGAUGGUGCGGGUUGGUGGAGGCAGCGUGCGAGGAGGAAAGGUGGUGCCUCAUGCUGGGGGUUUCCAGGCUCUGCUGGACAGCCAGGCUCUGGGCGCUUGCUUGCGAAUGGCAGAGCUCCUGCAAGGAUUCAGCUCAGCAGCUGCAGAUCCACAAGGUGACCUGGACAGACUCUCGGCAGCAACAUCUGAGCUGGAGCAGGCCUGGAAAAGCAGCCAACACUGUAUGUUGCAGCUGCUGAGUCGCCUGGAAGCCGUACAGGGACAGGCCAGGGGUGUGGUGGAGAAUGGCGGUAGUGUGGGGGAAAUUAAGCUUCCUGGCAUUGAGCUCUCCUUGCCAGCUCUCCCCGGGUUGGAGUAUCCUGACCCUGGAGGCUCGGGUCUGCAUGUCCCAGUUCUGGGAGCUCAGUUGGACUGGAUGUCAGGAUCUAUGGUGCCCCUGGCAGGAACCAUGGAGGAUGCAGAUGGUAAAGGGCUAGUUCCCAUACAUUUUGGAGCGCAGACAGUGGACCCAGUGACAGGGGUGCUGGCUCCGGUUGUGGGGGCCAGUCUGGAUGUUUGGAAGUGGACUGUGGUUCCUGUAACUGUGUCCCAGAUUCUGACGUUAGGAGAAAACCCAGACAGUGUCACGGUGAGCGAAGUUGAACUAAAUCACAGCAGCAUAAAAGCUCAUUUGGCUUGAGGGUGUUUAUAUGUGUGCAAA